rnacentral:rRNA from 1 species
UACGUAGGGUGCAAGCGUUGUCCGGAAUUAUUGGGCGUAAAAGAGCUCGUAGGCGGUCUGUCACGUCGGCUGUGAAAACCCGAGGCUCAACCUCGGGCCUGCAGUCGAUACGGGCAAACUAGAGUACUGCAGGGGAGACUGGAAUUCCUGGUGUAGCGGUGAAAUGCGCAGAUAUCAGGAGGAACACCGGUGGCGAAGGCGGGUCUCUGGGCAGUAACUGACGCUGGAGGAGCGAAAGCGUGGGGAGCGAACAGG